GCUUCCAUAGCUCAGUUGGUUAGAGCGUGAGGCUGUUAACCUCAAGGUCGGGAGUUCGAGCCUCCCUGGGAGCG
rfam:Symbiodinium microadriaticum strain CCMP2467 Smic.scaffold30, whole genome shotgun sequence.